AUUGAACGCUGGCGGCAGGCCUAACACAUGCAAGUCGAACGAGUGGCGGACGGGUGAGUAAUGUCUGGGAAACUGCCUGAUGGAGGGGGCUCACUACUGGAAACGGUAGCUAAUACCGCAUACCAUCAGAUGUGCCCAGAUGGGAUUAGCUAGUAGGUGGGGUAAUGGCUCACCAAGGCGGCAAUCCCUAGCUGGUCUGAGCGGAUGACCAGCAACACUGGAACUGAGAAACGGCCCAGAAUCCUACGGGAGGCAGCAGUGGGGAAUAUGGCACAAGGGGCGAAAGCCUGAGACAGCCAUGCCGCGUGUGUGAAGAAGGCCUUCGGGUUGUAAAGCACUUUCAGCGAGGAGGCGUUACUCGCAGAAGAAACACCGGCUAACUCCGUGCCAGCAGCCGCGGUAAUUC
rnacentral:rRNA from 1 species